GUGCCUGCUUCAGCAGCACAUAUGCAAAAAUUGGAAUGAUACAGAGAAUAUUAGCAUGACCCCUGCAUGAGUAUGACACACAAAUUUGUGAAAAAUAAGAAUGAAAA
ensembl:snRNA U6 U6 spliceosomal RNA